rnacentral:rRNA from 1 species
CCUACGGGAGGCAGCAGUGGGGAAUAUUGGACAAUGGGGGAAACCCUGAUCCAGCGACGCCGCGUGAGUGAAGAAGUAUUUCGGUAUGUAAAGCUCUAUCAGCAGGGAAGCAAAUGACGGUACCUGACUAAGAAGCACCGGCUAACUACGUGCCAGCAGCCGCGAUAAUACGUAGGGGGCAAGCGUUAUCCGGAUUUACUGGGCGUAAAGGGAGCGUAGGCGGCAUUCCAAGUCUGAGGUGAAAGACCGGGGCCCAACCCCGGGGCUGCAUUGGAAACUGGCAGGCUGGAGUGCAGGAGAGGCAGGCGGAAUGCCUGGUGUAGCGGUGAAAUGCGUAGAUAUUAGGAGGAACACCGGUGGCGAAGGCGGCCUGCUGGACGGUAACUGACGCUGAGGCUCGAAAGCGUGGGGAGCAAACAGGAUUAGAUACCCGUGUAGUC